rnacentral:sRNA from 1 species
GCAUUGGAAUCGCUGAACCGUGCAGUGCUCGCUGCCAUGGAUGCCACCAAGCUGGAAUACGAGAGGGCCUCCAAAGUGGACCAGUUUGUGACGCGCUUCCUGCUGCGGGAGACGGUGAGCCAGCUGCAAGCCCUGCAGAGCUCGCUGGAGGGGGCGUCAGAUACCCUGGAGGCCCAGGCCUGUGGCUGGCGUCCUUGGCCCUGUGAGCCUCACUUCCUCUAGGUCAGAUGCAGAGAGCGUGGAGGUGCAGAGCAGGCCCUGCGGCAGCCGGCGGGCAGGACGCCGGGCCCUGAGGAGUGUCAGCCGGUCAUCCACUUGGUCCCCCGGCUCUUCUGACACAGGGCGCAGCUCAGAGGCCGAGAUGCAGUGGCGGCUCCAGGUGAACCGCCUCCAGGAGCUCAUUGACCAGCUCGAGUGCAAGGCCCCCCGGCUGGAACCCCUGCAUGAAGAGGACCUGGCCAAGGGGCCUGACUUGCACAUCCUCGUGGCCCAGAGGCAGGUCCAGGUGGCAGAGGAAGGCCUGCAGGACUUCCACCGAGCCCUGCGCUGCUACGUGGACUUCACAGGGGCCCAGAGCCAUUGUCUGCAUGUGUCCGCCCAGAAGAUGCCAGACGGUGCCUCCUUCGCCCUGUAUGAGUUCUGGCAGGAUGAGGCCUCCUGGAGAAGGCACCAGCAGUCGCCCGGCAGCAAGGCCUUCCAGCGCGUCCUCAUCGACCACCUGCGGGCCCCGGACACCCUCACCACUGUGUUCUUCCCAGCCUCCUGGUGGAUAAUGAAUAACAACUGAGCCAGACCUGCACACGCCGAGGGCCCCGGGACCCUGCCUGCCUCCCUCUGGAGCCUUCUGGACUGGCCAGCC